rnacentral:rRNA from 1 species
GAUGAACGCUGGCGGCGUGCCUAAUACAUGCAAGUCGAGCGAAUGGAUUAAGAGCUUGCUCUUAUGAAGUUAGCGGCGGACGGGUGAGUAACACGUGGGUAACCUGCCCAUAAGACCGGGAUAACUCCGGGAAACCGGGGCUAAUACCGAAUAACAUUUUGAACCGCAUGGUUCGAAAUUGAAAGGCGGCUUCGGCUGUCACUUAUGGAUGGACCCGCGUCGCAUUAGCUAGUUGGUGAGGUAACGGCUCACCAAGGCAACGAUGCGUAGCCGACCUGAGAGGGUGAUCGGCCACACUGGGACGGAGACACGGCCCAGACUCCUACGGGAGGCAGCAGUAGGGAAUCUUCCGCAAUGGACGAAAGUCUGACGGAGCAACGCCGCGUGAGUGAUGAAGGCUUUCGGGUCGUAAAACUCUGUUGUUAGGGAAGAACAAGUGCUAGUUGAAUAAGCUGGCACCUUGACGGUACCUAACCAGAAAGCCACGGCUAACUACGUGCCAGCAGCCGCGGUAA